UGGGGAAUCUUGGACAAUGGGGGCAACCCUGAUCCAGCGAUGCCGCGUGGGUGAAGAAGGCCUUCGGGUUGUAAAGCCCUUUAGGCUGGGACGAAGGGUAUGGGACGAAUAAUCCUGUACUUUGACGGUACCAGCAGAAUAAGCACCGGCAAACUCUGUGCCAGCAGCCGCGGUAAUACAGAGGGUGCGAGCGUUAAUCGGAUUUACUGGGCGUAAAGGGCGCGUAGGCGGUGAUGUGAGUGUGAUGUGAAAGCCCCGGGCUUAACCUGGGAAGUGCAUCGCAAACGACAUGACUGGAGUAGAUGAGAGGGUGGCGGAAUUUCCGGUGUAGCGGUGAAAUGCGUAGAGAUCGGAAGGAACGUCAAUGGCGAAGGCAGCCACCUGGCAUCAUACUGACGCUGAGGCGCGAAAGCGUGGGGAGCGAACAGG
rnacentral:rRNA from 1 species